rnacentral:rRNA from 1 species
UACAGAGGUCUCAAGCGUUGUUCGGAUUCAUUGGGCGUAAAGGGUGCGUAGGCGGCGUGGUAAGUCGGGUGUGAAAUCUCGGAGCUUAACUCCGAAACUGCAUUCGAUACUGCCGUGCUUGAGGACUGGAGAGGAGACUGGAAUUUACGGUGUAGCGGUGAAAUGCGUAGAUAUCGUAAGGAAGACCAGUGGCGAAGGCGGGUCUCUGGACAGUUCCUGACGCUGAGGCACGAAGGCUAGGGGAGCAAACGGG